GACGAACGCUGGCGGCGUGCUUAACACAUGCAAGUCGACCGGUAAGGCCCUUCGGGGUACACGAGUGGCGAACGGGCGAGUCACCCGUGGGUGAUCUGCCCUGCACUUCGGGAUAAGCCUGGGAAACUGGGGCUCACACCGGAUAGGACCACUGCCGGCAUGGGCGGUGGUGGAAAGCUGUUGCGGUGUGGGAUGGGCCCGCGGCCGAUCAGCUUGUUGGUGGGGUGAUGGCCUACCAAGGCGACGACGGGUAGCCGGCCUGAGAGGGUGACCGGCCACACUGGGACUGAGUGACGGCCCAGACUCCUACGGGAGGCAGCAGUGGGGAAUAUUGCACAAUGGGCGCAAGCCUGAUGCAGGGACGCCGCGUGAGGGAUGACGGCCUUCGGGUUGUAAACCUCUUUCAGCACCGACGAAGCGCAAGUGACGGUAGGUGCAGAAGAAGGACCGGCCAACUACGUGCCAGCCGCCGCCGUAA
rnacentral:rRNA from 1 species